ensembl:snoRNA SNORD39 Small nucleolar RNA SNORD55/SNORD39
UCCAUGAGAGGCCACCACUGCCACGCCGCAGGCUCCGCAGCACACGGUGGGGAAGCCAGCCUUGGAGAGCCGAGCCGGGA